GGCAUUUUAUUUUAUUAGAGGAACCUGUUUUUUAAUCGACAACCCACGUUAAUUUUAACUUUAAUUAUAAAAUUUAUAUACCGCCAUCUAAAAAACUAAUUUUAUAAUAAUAUUUUUAAUAAAAAAUAAAAAGUUAGGUCAAGGUGUAAUCUAUGUUAAAGUAAAUAAUGGGUUACAUUAAAAAUAAUUUAAAGAUUAACAUAUUAAAAUAUAUUAUAAAAAAGGAUUUAAAAGUAAUAAAAUAAUAAUAUUUUAUUAUGAUUCAGAUAAUAAAUGUGUACACAUCGCCCGUC
rnacentral:rRNA from 1 species